rnacentral:lncRNA from 1 species
CCGCCGGGCCGGGCGCCCUCGCCGCCCUCCGGCUGCCGCGCCGCUCCUUCUCUGCGCGCUGAGGCCGCGCCACCCCACGGGCGGUGGCCGGAGCAGUGAGGCCACCGAGCCCCGCGCCCCCUGCGCGCUCGGAAAGGGCUUCGGCCCUCAGCGAGUUGGUGGCCCCGACGCGGGAAGAGCCGCGCCUAGGACGGUGCGUCUGGCCUCUCCCGCGGCUUCUCGCCCUGACAAGUUUGAACAAUGAUCACUGUCAACCCAGAUGGGAAGAUAAUGGUCAGAAGAUGCCUGGUCACUCUGAGACCCUUCCGGUGUGAGCAUGCCCUGGACAGUCAAUGGUGCAGGCUGAGAGCCAGUGUGUGGGGGAGUCCUGGGCACAGCAGCGGGCCAUGUGGCCCUGCCUUGGGAUCUCACCAGAAGCAGUGAUGGGUGCCGGCACCACCUCUGAGAAGACAGGCUUUUUGUCCUGGGCAUCGGCUUCUUCACCGUCUGCUUCCUGAUGACCUCUCUGGGAGGCCAGUUCUCGGCACGGCGCCUGGGGGACUCGCCCUUCACCAUCCGCACGGAAGUGCUGGGUGGCCCUGAGUCCCGUGGCGUCCUCCGCAAGAUGAGCGACCUGCUGGAGCUGAUGGUGAAGCGCAUGGACACGCUGGCCAGGCUGGAGAACAGCAGCGGGCUGCACCCGGAGGCCGGCGACCCCCACGCGGCUGCCCACAGAAUGAAAAAAAACCAAACCUUCCACGACCUGAGGAGGUCACAGCCCCCAGGACCCGAGGGGAGCACCAUCGGAGUCGUGUCUGCCGCCCGUUAAACAAGACCACGGUGAGACCGGAGGCGCUAACUCCCUUCCUGUCCACUCGGCCCGGCCACACGCACCUGGUCAUACGCACACCCGGCCACACGCACACCCGGCCACACACACACCC